UACAGAGGUCUCAAGCGUUGUUCGGAUUCAUUGGGCGUAAAGGGUGCGUAGGCGGCGCGGUAAGUCGGAUGUGAAAUCUCGGAGCUUAACUUCGAAACUGCAUUCGAUACUGCCGUGCUUGAGGACUGGAGAGGAGACUGGAAUUUACGGUGUAGCGGUGAAAUGCGUAGAUAUCGUAAGGAAGACCGGUGGCGAAGGCGGGUCUCUGGACAGUUCCUGACGCUGAGGCACGAAGGUCAGGGGAGCAAACGGG
rnacentral:rRNA from 1 species